rnacentral:rRNA from 1 species
UACGACGGGGGCGAGCGUUGUUCGGAUUUACUGGGCGUAAAGGGCGCGCAGGCGGCUCAUUUUGUCAGGCGUGAAAGCCCCGGGCUUAACCUGGGAACUGCGUUUGAUACGGAUGGGCUAGAGUUCGGGAGAGGAGAGUGGAAUUCCCAGUGUAGAGGUGAAAUUCGUAGAUAUUGGGAAGAACACCGGUGGCGAAGGCGGCUCUCUGGACCGAGACUGACGCUGAGGCGCGAAAGCGUGGGGAGCGAACAGG